rnacentral:rRNA from 1 species
CAGCUACCAUGCAGUCGACGGUAGCACAGAGAGCUUGGUCUCUUGUGAGCGUGGGGGACAGGGGAGUAAUGUGUGGGGGACUGCGUGUGGGGGGGGGAGAUCUCCUGUGGACGGGGGCUCAUACCCCGUAACGUCUCACGAGCAAAAAGGGGGACCUUCUGGCCUCUUGCCAUCUCAUGUGCCCCCAUGGGGUUUGCUCGUGGGUGGGGGGAUGGGUCUCCUCUGCGACAAUCCCUCUCUGGGGUGAGAGGAUGACCCCCCCCACUGUAACUGAGACACGGUCCCCACUCCUCCGGGAGGGGGCAGUGGGGAAUAUUGCGCAAUGGGGGCACGCUGAUGCACCAUGCCCGUGUAUGAAAAAGCGUUGGUUGUAAAGUACUUUUCAGGGGGGAAAGGGAUACGCUAAUAACCCUGUCGAUUGGACGUUACCCCCAGAAAAAAGCACCGGCUAACUCCCUGCCAGCGCCGCGGUAAUACGGAGGGUGCGAGCGUUAAUCUGAAUUACUGGGCGUAAAGCGCACGCAGGCGGUCUGUCAAGUCGGAUGUGAAAUCCCCGGGCUCAACCUGGGAACUGCAUUCGAAACUGACAGGCUGGAGUCUUGUAGAGGGGGGGUAGAAUUCCAGGUGUAGCGGUGAAAUGCGUAGAGAUCUGGAGGAAUACCGGUGGCGAAGGCGGCCCCCUGGACAAAGACUGACGCUCAGGUGCGAAAGCGUGGGGAGCAAACAGGAUUAGAUACCCUGGUAGUCCACGCUGUAAACGAUGUCGACUUGGAGGUUGUGCCCUUGAGGCGUGGCUUCCGGAGCUAACGCGUUAAGUCGACCGCCUGGGGAGUACGGCCGCAAGGUUAAAACUCAAAUGAAUUGACGGGGCGCCCGCACAAGCGGUGGAGCAUGUGGUUUAAUUCGAUGCAACGCGAAGAACCUUACCUACUCUUGACAUCCAGAGAACUUAGCAGAGAUGCUUUGGUGGCCUUCGGGAACUCUGAGACAGGUGCUGCAUGGCUGUCGUCAGCUCGUGUUGUGAAAUGUUGGGUUAAGUCCCGCAACGAGCGCAACCCUUAUCCUUUGUUGCCAGCGGUCCGGCCGGGAACUCAAAGGAGACUGCCAGUGAUAAACUGGAGGAAGGUGGGGAUGACGUCAAGUCAUCAUGGCCCUUACGAGUAGGGCUACACACGUGCUACAAUGGCAUAUACAAAGAGAAGCGACCUCGCGAGAGCAAGCGGACCUCAUAAAGUAUGUCGUAGUCCGGAUCGGAGUCUGCAACUCGACUCCGUGAAGUCGGAAUCGCUAGUAAUCGUGGAUCAGAAUGCCACGGUGAAUACGUUCCCGGGCCUUGUACACACCGCCCGUCACACCAUGGGAGUGGGUUGCAAAAGAAGUAGGUAGCUUAACCUUCGGGAGGGCGCUACCAU